CCUACGGGCGGCAGCAGUAGGGAAUCUUUCACAAUGGGCGAAAGCCUGAUGGAGCAACGCCGCGUGCAGGAUGAAGGCCUUCGGGUUGUACACUGCUUUUAUAAGCGAGAAAUAUGAUGGUAACUUAUGAAUAAGGAUCGGCUAACUACGUGCCAGCAGCCGCGGUCAUACGUAGGAUCCGAGCAUUAUCCGGAGUGACUGGGUGUAAAGAGUUGCGUAGGUGGCAUAAUAAGUAGCUAGUGAAAUCUGGUGGCUCAACCAUUCAGACUAUUAGCUAAACUGUUAAGCUCGAGACCGUUAGGGGUAACUGGAAGUUCUAGUGUAGGAGUGAAAUCCGUAGAUAUUAGAAGGAACACCAAUAGCGUAGGCAGGUUGCUGGGACGGUUCUGACACUAAGGCACGAAAGCGUAGGGAGCAAACGGGAUUAGAUACCCGGGUAGUC
rnacentral:rRNA from 1 species